UACAGAGGUCUCAAGCGUUGUUCGGAUUUAUUGGGCGUAAAGCGCUCGCAGGCGGCUCGAUGCGUCGUGCGUGAAACACCCCGGCUCAACUGGGGAGGGUCGUGCGAUACGGUCGGGCUGGAGGCCAGUAGGGGGAUGCGGAAUUCCGGGUGUAGUGGUGGAAUGCGUAGAGAUCCGGAGGAACACCAGCGGCGAAGGCGGCAUCCUGGACUGGUCCUGACGCUCAGGAGCGAAAGCGUGGGGAGCGAUCCGG
rnacentral:rRNA from 1 species